rnacentral:rRNA from 1 species
UACGAAGGGGGCUAGCGUUGCUCGGAAUCACUGGGCGUAAAGGGCGCGUAGGCGGACAUUUAAGUCAGGGGUGAAAGCCCAGAGCUCAACUCUGGAAUGGCCUUUGAUACUGGGUGUCUCGAGUCUGGUAGAGGUUGGUGGAGCUGCGAGUGUAGAGGUGAAAUUCGUAGAUAUUCGCAAGAACACCGGUGGCGAAGGCGGCCAACUGGACCAGUACUGACGCUGAGGCGCGAAAGCGUGGGGAGCAAACAGG